AAUGUGUGUAAAAACAACAAAUUAGAAGGCAGUUGUUUUAAAAAUUGUUUUGCCCUCCCCCUCCUUUAGUCUAAUAUAAGGAGGGGGAGGGGCGUGAAGCUGCGCAUUUGAUGCACUCGGCGAACGGAGUAGACAAUGAUGAUUUUUGAAGGCAUCCCCCUUCCCUUUCCGUAAGUCUACGAUAAGGAGGGCGUGGCCUGUGGGACGGUGCAUUUGCUGCACGGAGGUUACGCGUAUCAAAUAUUACGAACGGUUUUUGCAGGUCCUCGGUGCUUGAGUCUUCAGCACCUGACCGACGGUUCUGUGCGCGUUGGAAGUUUCACUUGAAGCUUCAGAGACUUUUAAACUAGUAUAAUACGCGCCAUCUAAAGAGACUGGUCCGAAGUUAGCCUCUCUACUAUAUAACCUUUAAAAUAUAAUAAUCAACUAAUUUCUGACCGGCCAACUUAGAUCGCCCGUAUUGUAAUUAAGAUAAAUUUAAUGUUGCUUUGUUAAAUAUGUUCAUGUAUCUAACAAAACAACCUGUUAUUACUACUGUAAGUUACUAUUAUAUAUAGUUCAGGGCGGGGACGUAUUCACUUGACGAUUCCCAGACCUUGACUCUAGUAUUAUACGUACAAGUUAUCAAGAAAUGUUUGAAAUCGACACAUUUAAGCCACUAAACAUCAAACAUAAAUAUUGUAAUUAAGGUUAACUUAAUGUUAGUUGGCCCCAAGCUAUUACUGCAUGUUACUAAUGUAUGCGGUAUUACUAAGGAUUUCCCUGCGCGUAGUAAUGUAAGCAAUAGCGAAGGUAUGCCCUCGAUUUCUUCGCUACUAUUGAAUGCAACGUAUGUUGCAAUUAAAACAUUAAGUCACUAAACAUCAACGUUAAAUAUUGUAAGGUUCAUUUAAUGUUGGUUUGUUAAAUAUAGCCAAAUAUUUAACAAAACAACCAUCAUUAACUCUCGCCGUAAGUUACUAACUAACCUAGUAUUGUAAUCGGUAGGUAUGGUAUGCCCUUCGGUAGGUAAUUUAAGGACAAAAAAAAUUAAAAAACUGAAUAAAAUGU